rnacentral:rRNA from 1 species
GAUGAACGCUGGCGGCGUGCCUAAUACAUGCAAGUCGAGCGAACAGACGAGGAGCUUGCUCCUCUGACGUUAGCGGCGGACGGGUGAGUAACACGUGGAUAACCUACCUAUAAGACUGGGAUAACUUCGGGAAACCGGAGCUAAUACCGGAUAAUAUAUUGAACCGCAUGGUUCAAUAGUGAAAGACGGUUUUGCUGUCACUUAUAGAUGGAUCCGCGCCGCAUUAGCUAGUUGGUAAGGUAACGGCUUACCAAGGCAACGAUGCGUAGCCGACCUGAGAGGGUGAUCGGCCACACUGGAACUGAGACACGGUCCAGACUCCUACGGGAGGCAGCAGUAGGGAAUCUUCCGCAAUGGGCGAAAGCUUGACGGAGCAACGCCGCGUGAGUGAUGAAGGUCUUCGGAUCGUAAAACUCUGUUAUUAGGGAAGAACAAAUGUGUAAGUAACUAUACACGUCCUGACGGUACCUAAUCAGAAAGCCACGGCUAACUACGUG